GAUAAAAAGAGCUGCUGGAGGAGGUAGGAGUGGAUGGUGUCAAGAGAAGGUGGGAAUUUAUAACAGAACAAUGAUUCUAAAGAGAUGAAAGCAGAAACGUGUGGAUUGAUGUGAGUUCAGUGGACUCUGGCCCACCUGGGCACAUUGGUCAACACAGGCAGAAGGAUUGGGCGGAAGGAGACAUACUGCUGCAUCGUUGAUCUCCUGACGCUUCUCUGGUCCAGCCAUUGUCUGCUUGCCGCAUCUCAUCUCUGUCAGCAAUGGAUCCUCAGCACAGCACACAGCCUUCCUGGAAAAGUGAUGUCCUUCACUAUGUCAUUGCUUUCAUUUCCUUCUGAACACCCAGCUCUUCCCCCGUCCCCUCAGAUUUGUUAUCCUGGGAUUCACCACAGUUAGCCAGACGGUUUUUAUUAA
ensembl:lncRNA